CACGUAGGGUGCGAGCGUUGUCCGGAAUUACUGGGCGUAAAGCGUGCGCAGGCGGUUUUGUAAGUCUGUCGUGAAAUCCCCGGGCUCAACCUGGGAAUUGCGAUGGAGACUGCAAGGCUAGAAUCUGGCAGAGGGGGGUAGAAUUCCACGUGUAGCAGUGAAAUGCGUAGAGAUGUGGAGGAACACCGAUGGCGAAGGCAGCCCCCCUGGGUCAAGAUUGACGCUCAUGCACGAAAGCGUGGGGAGCAAACAGG
rnacentral:rRNA from 1 species